GCGGCGCUGAGGAGGCCGGGGCCGGGGUCGCCGCCCGCCCGCACUCACCGCAGCCCGCAGGCCUGCACCGCCGCCGGGCUCCCGGCCGUACCCGAGCCCUGCUCUGACGUCACACAGCUGGGGCGCUGCCCUCACGCUGUAGCCGAGUGGCGUCACAAAGCCGCGCGCCGCCGCAGCCAAUCAGCGUAACGCCUGUCGUCACGCCCAGGAGGAGAGACGGGUACGAGGUGAGCGCCGGCAUCACGUGAUGAAGGCGGACCAAUCGCGGCUGGCCCAGCCCCGUCCCGGCAGCCCCUGCGCUGAGGUGAGUUGAGCCCUGGGGGGCGAUGCCUUUGAGUCGAUAUGCUGCCUGUUCAUCUGUGGCCUUUACCACCGAGCUUUUCUCCGGUUUGCUGUGCGUUUUUCCUCUGAGAGAUGUGCGAGCUCAAAGGGCAGCAGCUGCCGGGACACCAGGCUGCAGCCCGCCUCCCUGCUGCCGUCCACGGGAACGAUACUGCGUGCUUCAGAAGGUCUGUAAGCGCUCCGGAGGUCUGUGGAGUUCGGUGUGUAGUCAGACGGUGCUCUGGAUGAGUCCAGUGCUGUAUGAGUGCUUCCCGUACUCUCACUGAGCCAUACCGGGUCCAUAGGUAAUAAAUGUGGUAACAAUCA